ensembl:lncRNA
GUCAAGAGGAGGGCGCAGAUAGUAACACUCAAAGUACAAACAACGAGGAGAUGACUUCUGUAGCAGUGGUCUGAACCAGCCGAAUCUCACACGGUCUAGUUAGAGAAGGAGACCUGCGCCGUGCGUCGGAAUUUCAGCUACCCCCUGAGGGGGGUGGGGGUGUUUGCUUUACCUGGCCAGCCUGAGACGCAGAGCUGAUGGAGAGAGGCUGGGCUGAGUGCGGUGCCACUCUAGAGCGCUGUUGAACAGAGAGCUUCAUUCAGCUCAUAGACUCUGCUGAAGGGGAGCGGUCUUUUUCACCGACCUGUGUGAUUCUUGUGUGCUUUUAGGAGUAAUUCGAGGGCUAUUUUAGACGCAACAAACCGUGCGGUUUGUUAAGAAGAGACCGAAACCAUCUGUGAUUUUUUAUUGUGUGUCUCUUAGACGCAGCAUGGGGAUGUAACUGGGUUCAUCAUGCAUCUGGAAGUGGCGUGAGGUUACCACCAGCCCGAGAAGAGCAAACUGCUGGGGCGUGUGGUUAAUUGAAAUUGAUCCGGUGGUCUUUAUUUUUUAUUUUUUUAUUUAUUUAUUUUUGGAUGUGAAGCUGUAGCAGAGGUUCUUUCUCCUCUCCUCUCCUCCUCCCCAUUCCUCUCACCUCCAACAUGACUUCACUGUCGGGGACUAAGGAGAGGUCUGUGAGCAGCCGGAGCAGAAAAUAUGGGGUAGGUUAUUCAUUCCAGCAGCCGAGGGGUGGACACACCUCUGUUCCCAAUCAGCCUGGUAAACAUUAAAACUUAUCAUCCGUUCACUGCUGCAUGCACUUCAUCUCACACUCCACCCAUUUUUAUAGGAGACUGCCGUUUGCUUCGUUUUCAGGGUGACAUAAACAUGAAACUUGAAGGUUCUUGUAAGAUUUGUGUUCCUACUGCUGAUUGCUUUGUGAAGAUCACACUUCAAAUAUCAGUGCUUAUGGUGUUAUGGUGUCACAACGCUGGCAUGCAUUUUCACUGAAUGAUCCCCAGAAGUAGCACUUGCUGAGCACCAAAGUGCUAAAUCAGUGAAGACUAUUAUAGUCACACCUGUGUCACUGCCUAUCAUCUA